AUUUCCCUGUCCGCCUGUUAGUGUUUAUUUCUUCCCCUUCUCCUCCUGGGAGCCAACACCUCCCAGCCCUCACCUUUCACACGCUGCUCUCCCUUCCUUGCCUCCAUCCCUCCCGUCGCCCCUUUCCCUCCUCCUCCUCCUUUCCCAGCUCAGCAGCGGAGAUUUCUGUUUGUGCCAGUGGGGCGGCCUGGCGAGACCGCAAUUGCUCUACCCCACAGAUUGACGAGCCCUCAGAUGCCGAUUUACUGUACAUGGCAGCCACGCUGGAGCCGAGGCACAUCUGGAGUGGAGUAAGCUUACUCAGAAACAGGGGCCAGCUCCAGCCGGAGCCAGCGGAGCCGAGCGCGGCACUUGAAGGCAGCCCUCCUGCCUCCCUUCCCUCUCCCCGGAUCCUACUAGGAGAGGGCCAACAUUUAUCUUGAACAACCUUAACUAAGUCUUGACCUUCCCAGUCAGAGAACCACUGGGCAUUACUUCCCUAUGGCUGCUUGAAACCAUUCACAAGGUGAAAAUCACAGAAUCACAGAAUUGUAAGGGCUGGAAGAGACCUCCAGAAAUCAUGGAGUGCAGCCCCCCUGCAAAGCAGACUGCCUACAGCAGGCUGCACAGGUAGGUGUCCAGGUGGGUCUUGAAUAUCUCCAGAAAAGGAGAAUCCACAACCUCUAUGGGCAGCCUGUUCCAGUGCUCCACUGACCUUAAUGUGAAGAAGUUCUGAUGCAUAUUUAUGUGAAAUUCAGUGGUAAAGUUGUUCAUCAGCUAGGAAAGACUGAACUGCACACUCCCAAGGUCUGUAGUAAACCUUAUGUGCCUGAAACCUGGACCAAGGACAAAUUCAGGGAGGAUCUACCUCUUGUUAUAAGACUUUUGUGAUCCAUGUGAUUACCGAGGUGGAUAAAAGGAUUUAUUUGGGGGUGAAAUUAUUAAUUUGAAACAAGCAAACAUUUCUGCAGAGAAAAUAUGAUGGAACCAGUCUGUUUGGCAGACUUCAGAGAGAUCUUGGCAAUUGAUUGAAAUCUAAACUUCUUUUCCCAAUGACAG
ensembl:lncRNA